CAGGAGAGGAGGCAGCCACACAUAUCCAGAAUCUUUAUUUUGGGUACUAUCUAUCCCUCCGGAUAUCCUGUUUGAUGUCACUGAUUUGGCCUCGUUUUUAAAAUAUCCUAUGGUACUUUAUUAGCCCUGGAGGAUACUUUCUAUCCGGUCAUAUCCAUUGCUAGAAUUGAAUAUAUCUCAUGGUAUUUUAUUAGCCCUGGAGGAUACUUCCUAACCGUUCAUAUCCAUUGCUAGAAUUGAAUCUAUGACCUGUACCCCUGAUGAAGUUCAUAGCGGACGAAACGCUUUGGGUUUUGUGUAAAAAAAUCUUUGUAGAAAGUACCUUGUUUAUUGUACAAACGAAUAUUGUACUUAUGAAACAUUAUAU